ACUUACUCUCAACAAGAAAGCGUGGAGAGCAAACAAGAUAGAUGCCAUUGUACUCCACACCCUAAACGAACUCAACUAGCUGUUGGGUAUUCCUGGCCUUAGUAUCGCAGAUAACGCGAGAAGUCGACCGCGUGGGGAGUGCGGCCGCAAGAUUAAAAAAUCAAAGUAAUUGACGGGGACCCCCACAAGCGGUGGAUGAUGUUGAUUAAUUCGAAGCAACAAGAAAAACCUUACCUCCCCUCGACACGUCAGUAAUCCAGAAGAGAUGUAGUAGUGCUCGCAAGAGAACCCCAACACAGGCACGGCAUUGCUGUCGUCAGCUCGUGUCAUGAGAGGUUAGGUUAAGUACCGCAACGAGCCCAACCCUUUUCUUUAGUUCAUUCGAAAGGGCACUUUAAUGAGACUGCCGGUGACAAACCGGAGGAAGGUGGGGAUGACGUCAAGUCCUCAUGGCCCUUAUGGGUAGGGCUUCACACGUCAUACAAUGGUCGGUACAGAGGGUUGCCAACCCGCGAGGGGGAGCCAAUCCCAGAAACCCGAUCGUAGUCCGGAUUGUAGUCUGCAACUCGACUACGUGAAGUCGGAAUCGCUAGUAAUCGCGGAUCAGCAUGUCGCGGUGAAUACGUUCCCGGGUCUUGUACACACCGCCCGUCACACCAUGGGAGUGGGUUUCACCAGAAGUAGUUAGCCUAACCGCAAGGAGGGCGAUUACCACGGUGGGAUUCAUGACUGGGGUGAAGUCGAACAAGAGCUGGCC
rnacentral:rRNA from 1 species